CACGUGGCUCUUGCCUGGUUGACAGUCCCCAUCAAGCUGGUGAGGUGGUCUUGUCUUUUUUCCCCAACCUGUUGUAAUUUGACUCUUAGGAAUUGUGCCGUGAGCGCUGAGAUUUGUAGACAUCCCAUUGUAGGGGUCUUGGUUGCGUAUCACUGUGCCCAUGGCUCUUAGGGUGACACACACCCAACUCCCAAAUUCUGUCCCGAAUGAGAGGUGGGGUCCAGAGGCACUUAAAAGUCCAGGGAGUCUGAGGGACAGGGAUGCUGACAGUGGGCACUGGUGGUUUGUCUGUUCUACUGUUUCAGGGGGAUGAGCCCACCAUGUGGAAUUCAGAUGGGCCUUCUGGCUACCCCAGGGGCCUCCAGCUCAGCUUCCUGGGUGUGUCAGAGAGGCGUGCCAGGAGCCAGAGCUGAGGAAUGAGGCUGGGCUUACUGCCACCCAGGAGGAGUCCCUCUGGAGAGCCUCAGAAAGUACCUGCAAUGGCAAUACAACAGAAGAGCCUCUAAAUAUCUCCUUUUGGGGAUACGGCAGGAAAGCCAAAGGAAAUGUGAAGAGAUGUCUGAACGCCCAGAGGAAACCAGUGGGCCCUUCCAGGAGUUCUAUUUGCGGUAAGAAACCUUGGCAUGGGGCAGCCAGCUCUCCUGCAAAAAUAGACCAAUGUGCUGAGAAGCAGCUCAAUUCUGGGAGCAAUUCCCCUCCAUGGGGAAGAGAGCUUGCACUGGGACUUAGAAGGAUCUGCCCCCUCUCUUCUUCUUGCCCCUGGACUCCAGAACCAAAAACGGGGAGAAAAAAAGGUAAACAUUUUUUUAAAAAAGAACUCUUGGCCAGGUGGAGUGGCUCACACCUGUAGUCCCAACACUUUGGGAGGCUGAGGCAGGAGGAUCACUUGAGGCUAGGAGUUUGGGACCAGCCUGGACAACAUGGCAAGACCCUGUCUAUCAAAAAAAUACAAAAAUUAUCUGGGUGUGGUGGCACAUGCCUGUAGUCUCAGCUACUUGGGAGACUAAGGCAGGAAGAUUGCUUGAGCCUGGGAGGUCGAGGCUGCAGUGAGCUAUGAUCAAGACAGUGUACUCCAGCCUGAGUGACAGAGUGAGAACCCCAUCUCUUAAGAAAACAAAAAACCAGAACUUAUGAAUGUAUCCAUGACUUAAAUCAAAAAUGGGCCAGUGGAAACACAGGGCAAAGGAAGGUUUCAAAUAAGCACCUGGACACAAACGGACCCAGGAGGUGACACACAGUAUUGAGGACCCACUCCCCAUCACUAGGUCCUUUGGCCUCAAAUGAGUGAGAUGACUAAGAAAAUAGGGCACCAUGUGCGGCAGAAGUGAGGGUGGCUAGACAGAAAAUGACGGCCUUGACUGUGAUGGUCAUCACAGACAGGACCCCUAAGAAAGGUGGCCAAGGGGGUCUGGGGACCCAUCUUUAGAAUACCGGGCUGACAGCAUAACAGGGGUUUGGGACACCACCAUGAAAGAAGACAAUGAAGCCAGGUGCAGUGGCUCACGCCUAUAAUCCCAGCACUUUGGGAAGCCAAGGCAGGAAGAUUGCUUGAGCCCAGGAGUUUGAGACCAGCCCGAGCAACGUAGCAAGACCCCCAUCUCUACUAAAAAUUUAAAAAUUAGCGAAGCAUGGCUGGGCACGGUGGCUCACGCCUGUAAUCCCAAUACUUUGGGAAGCCAAGGCGGGUGGAUUACGAGGUCAGGAAUUCAAGACCAGCCUGACCAACAGGGUGAAACCCUGUCUCUACUAAAAAUACAAAAAUUAGCCGGGUGUGGUGGCAGGCUCCUGUAACCCCAGCUACUCAGUAGGCUGAGGCAGGAAAAUCGCUUGAACUCAGGAGGUUCAGUAAGCCAAGAUCAUGCCAUUGCACUCCAGCCUGGGUGACGGAGUGAGACUCCAUCUCAAAAAAAAAAAAAUUAGCCAAGCACAGUGGCAUGUGUCUGUAGUACCAGCUACUUGGGAGGCUGAGUGAAGAGGGAGGAUUGCUUGAGGCCAGGAGUUGGAGACCAGACUGGGCAACAUAGCGAGACCUCAGCUUGGAAGUAAGGAAGGAAAGAAGGGAGGGAAGGAGGGAUGAAGGUAGAAAGAAACGGGACAAGAUGGACUCCUGAGGCCAUCCUAAUUCUGGAACACAAUACAAUGGCCUCUGUAUGUUAGGAGGGCUCAUUUGGCUUCUCUCUAAGCCAGCAGUCCACAUCUUUUUGGCACCAAGGACCAGUUUUGUAGAAGACAAUUUUCCACGGAUGGGGGCGGGGGGUGGGGGUGGGAGGGGAUGGUUUCGGGAUGAAACUGUUCCACCUCAGAUCAUCAGACGUUAGAUUCUCGUAAGAGGUGCCCAACCUACAUCCCUUGCACGUGCAGUCCACAAUAGGGUUUGUGCUUCUAUGGGAAUAUAAUGCCACACUGAUCUGACAGGAGUCAGGGCUCAGGUAGUAAUGCUCACUCACCUGCCGCACACCUCCUGCUGUGCGGCCGGUUCCCAAUAGGCCAUGGAAUGCUUAUUGGUCCACAGCCCUGGAGUUGGGCACCCCUCUUCUAAGGCAGAAGCUUCUACUGUCUUAGGAGCAGCGUCCUGGCCUCCACAGCAGGGAGAGAGCAGGAAUACCCAGCCACAGAUACUGGUCAAGAUAUUGAUCAACUUCCUACCAUCAUGGUGGAGGCAAGCCUGGAGGCCUCUGGGUGGUCAUCAGGUCACCCCAGCACAUUUUCCUGCCCCGGACUCCUGGCCACGCUGAGGUUGCUGUGAGCAGACACGAUGUGCAGGGUCAUGGAUGUGCAGCUCAAACUCCUUGACAAGCGGGAGAUUUAUUUUAUGGCCCAAGCAGUUUGGAGACAAAAUCGUAAGGUGCUCACCCAUCCAGUGUCUCUUCAGCCGGCACUGGGAGGUGUCAAACUGACCACAUUCGACUGCCCCUUCCGCCCGCAGAAUAUGGGUCUGCGUUUCUCUUUCCCUCUUGGUGGCCAAGAACUGUCAACAUCCAGCUGUGGCUCUGCACUCAGCCGCCGCUCAGCCUGCUCAGGUUGAAAGGUCAAACGUUGUCUGGAAUUGGCAGCCCAGCUUACUAGCAGCUCUUCUGUCUUCAGAGUGCAGUGAGGGGAGCUGUCAGAGGGCUGAGGCAAGGACCAGAGAGGGAACUCCUGCGACAGAGAAAGCUCAGCCCUGGUUAUGUUCUGGAGGGAGCAUAGCAGGGUCUGUCCCAGGAACUUUAUUAGUUAGCGGUUAAGAUCCUCAUCCACAGAAAAGCCGGUAGGAAUUAGCCAGGUGGUGUGUGCCUAUGGUCCCAGCUACCCAGGAGGGUGAGGAGGGAGGACUGCUUGAGCCCAGGAGGUUGAGGCUGCGGCUAGCUAUGAUUGUGUCACUGCGCUCCAGCCUGGGUGACAAAGCAAGAUCCUGACUCAAAAAAAAAAAAAAAAAAAAAAGGAAGAAAGAAGAAAGAGAGAGAAGAAAGAAAGGAGAGAAAGAGAAGGAAGGAAGGAGAAAGGAAAGAAGGAAGGAAGAAAAGGAAGAAAGAAUGACAAAGAAAAGAAAGAAAGACGAAAAGGAAAGGAAAAGAAAAGAAAAAAGAAACAAAAGCAGGAAAGUGAGGGGAGAGGGCCAGGAAGACAGAAGACAGGAUGGGCAAGAAGGGUGGGAAGGAUUCCCACACCAGAUUCAGGAGUGGCUCUGCAUUGGGAAAUCCAUCUACGACUGCUGGGGACUUGGUUUUGCAAACAUGCACAGAGAAACCUUCAUCCACCUCUGUGCAAUGUUGGACUGAAGUAGAAAUGAGCCGCUGUUUUCUGGAAGCACCCCAUUUCUUUGAGCUGAUCUUCUCUAAUAAUGAAUUCUGGUGAAGCCUGCCAUUCACAGCACCCUGCCCUCCCAUCUGUAGGAGGUGGGAACAGGACCCAGGCCAGUUGAUCAGAGAGCUCCCUUGCCCUGGGAUGAGCAUGUGACCCAGAUGUCUCAAUCAUGGGGAAGAUCCUCUUGCCUGUUAUAGCCACUAUGCUGGAAGAACAGGAUGUGGGCUUGCUGGCCGCCAUCUUCCAGUCCACGCUGGGAACCCAUCUGCAGGAGGAGGGAAGGAGGACAACCCAGUUUGAGGGAGCAUAUGGACAGCAGCUAUAGAAGGCUCCAUAUGUGCCCAGUGCUAGAUCCACCCCAUCCCUUCCUGUUCCAUAAAUCCAUACAUCUUCUCUCACUUUUGCUUACCCUAGUUUGAGUUACAUUUCUGACACCUGCCACCAUAAAAGCCCAAAUGAUUACAGAGAAUAUUUGGCUACAGGAAAGACCCUGCAGUCUGUGAAAAAAGAGGCUGCUGGUGCAUAGUCAUCGUAGACCAGUGCAAAGAGUGAAACAGAAACAUCCAGCUUAAUCUGCAAAAGCCUUUUUGGAUCCUUGAGAGGCGCUCAUUAACUUACAGCAAAUUGGUGAGCUGAUACUCUUCUUUCAUCCAGGUGAGUGCAUUAACUAGGUUAAUGUUCCUGUCUCAAGGGACUGCUGUAGGUUAGGGUGAAUGAAUGAAAGAAGCAAGUUUUUAAACAGGAAAAAGGCUGCAGGGAAGUUGAGGUGACAAGCAUCGUUUCACCCCCAAUGGAAGGUGAGCUUGUCUGUUAGGUCCCAGGGACUGAAUUGGAGUUCCGUGGUUAGGGAAUGACCCAUCUCAACAAGCAACUUCCAUCAUCCUUCCAUGGGGAUCUGAUUAAGGUCUUCUCCAGAAGGAGAUGGCCUCGUGAGUUGGGGCUUUUUAAUCUCCCUGUCCCUCCUCUAGAAGGGCAUUGCUACUGGCCUUGCCCUGCCAAGUCUUCAGUCUACAACAACACUGCCCGGCUUCAGACACAGCCCAGAUCCUUCCCAGAUCCUUCCCAGACACAGCCCAGAUCCUUCCCAGACAAAAAGUCCUUCCGACUUUUUGCCCUUUCGGCCCAGCCUUCCCUAUCACUUAUGCUGAAAUUGGGAACGUUUCCCAAACCAACAAUUUCCCAGUCCACAAUGUUCCCUUGCUGAGUGUCCCCACAGGAGAGACAGGCAGCCUGAUAAAUAAAACCAGUCAUAAAACCUCCCUGCCUUAGCAAAGGGACUGCUUUGCCAGGCUACCGUCACAUAGCACUCCUGUCUCCCGUUUGACUUCAUAUAGUGAAAAUUGUCUAAAAGAUAAGGCAGGAGCUCUGGUUGACACCCCCCCUGCCCCCGCCUCAUAGAUCUCUCUCUAGAAGCAUUGGAAGAGGCCGUCUCAAAAAAGAAAAAUAAAAUAGAAGCAUUGGAGGAAAGAUGUGGUUUGUAGUGAAACAAAUUGGAAGUCAAGCUCAGCCUCAACCACUUACUUGCUUCUGACCUUGGGUAGUGUCCACCACAGGAAACAUUACUAUUUGGGUUUUGUGACCCAGGAAUCCAUAUUUACCUGGCGGCAACGACACAGCCCUCACCUUUCCAGACCUCAUCUGGUGGCCUUGUAAUCCUGGAGCUGAAGCUGCCUACACACAAGCAAUCGGUCGCAGUGUAUCCGUGCAGGGUCCCAACCCACUCCAGGAUUCAUUUCGGGAUGGCUUCCCCUCCCUCAGCCAGGUCUCCGGCCCCGUUGCUCUGCAUGCUUGCCCAUCUCCAUCUCCACGGCGAUCAUGUGUUUGCAGGGAGCCAUCAAUAUCCUCUUCUCUUACGCUUUCUGAAUGGGAGAGUCAAUCUCAAUGGGAAGCUAGCAGGGACUUGGGUGGACAGGUGUCUCACGCUGGAUGGGCGAAUCCAGGUGGGAGGGAGGGUGGGCUUGCUGUCAUUUGUUGGUGGGUCAUGGGAUUUGCUAUGAAGCUGGAGGGAAAAUCUGGACCCCUGAAGAGGGGUCCCUUCCCUUCCUAAGGGAAGGCCUCAGCUCCAAGACUGCAGGAGGAGCUGGGUAGCCAUUGGAUAUGGCUAACGCACAUGAAUCAUGACCAGGGUGCACUGUUUGGACAGCAAGUCAGUGGCCCAAGGAGAGAGAGGUUAGUGAUGGGAAGCGUCCUGAGACUCACUGAUGCAUCUUUACAUUUUUCUCUUUAAGCAUUAGGAAGAGGCCGGGUGCCGUGGCUCACACCUGUAGUGCCAGCGCUUUGGAAGGCUAAGAUGGGCAGACUGCUUGAACUCAGGAGUUUGAGACCAGCCUGGGCAAUGUGUCAAGACCCCAUCUCUACAAGAAAUUUUAAAAUUAGCCAGGCAUUGUGGUAGGUGUCUGUGGUUCCAGCUACUCAGGAGGCUGAGGCAGGAGGAUUGCUUGAGCCUGAGAAGUUGAGGCUACAGGGAGCUGUGAUCUCACCACUGCACUCCAGCCUGGGCAACAGAGUGAGACCCUGUCUCAAUCAAUCAAUCAAUCAAGAAAUAUUAGGAGGAGAAUUUGUUGAUGUCUCUUUUCUGUCAUAAGCUCGGCUCUCCAAGAGCCUUUUCUUCCCAGGAGGACAUGCUGGUGUUUCAUGAAUCUAGGACUUCUUGCCUGAAGCUUGUAAAGUGCUAGAUGGAAUGAAAACAGCAGCAGUAAGAGCAGGCUCUUAUGCAACCUUGCUACACACAAGGCAUUGCUCUAAGUGCUUUGCAGGGGUUAAGAGAUGCAGCUGAGUAGCUGAGGACAGUCUAGGGGUGGGGUUUCCAGAGGCUGUCAGGGGAGUGGCCCCCAGUCUCCCUGGUGGAAUCCCUGACCAUUAAUCACACACAUAAGUUUCACUCCACAAACAUGGGUUGUAAAAACAUUACAAUCUAGCCAGGCGCAGUGACUCAUGCCUAUCAUACCAGUACUUUGGAAGGCCGAGGCAGGAGGAUUGCUUGAGGAGUUCCCGACCCGCCUGGGCAACGUAGCAAGACCCCCAUCCUACCAAAAAAAAAAAAAAAAAAAGGCAGGGUGUGUUGGUGUGCACCUAUAGUCCCAGCUACUUGGGAGGCUGAGGCAGGGAGAUUGCUUGAGCCCAGAAGUUCAAGGCUGUGGUGAGCUAUGAUUAUACUACUGCACUCCAGCCUGAGCAACAGAACAAGACUCUGUUUUUUUUUUAAGCCAUAAUCCAUUAUUUUUUUCUAAAUUAAAUGGAAUGUGUUGUGAACCACAAUCAUUUAUUUUAUUUACUUAUUUAUUUUUGAGACGGAGUCUUGCUCUGGCGUCCAGGCUGGAGUGCAGUGGUGUGAUCUCGUCUCACUGUAACCUCUGCCUCCUGGGUUCAAGCAAUUCUCCUGUCUCAGCCUCCUGAGUAGCUGGGAUUACAGCUGUGCACCACCACACCUAAUUUUUGUAUUUUUAGUAGAGAUGGAGUUUCAUCACGUUGUCCAGGCUGGUCUCGAACUCCUGGCCUCAAGCGAUCCACCUGCCUCAGCCUCCCAAAAUGCUAGGAUUACAGGCGUGAGCCACCAUGCUUGGACCUAGCCACAAUUAUUUAAUACCAGGGCUCCCUGCCAUUGCUCCCCAGAGCUGGGAGAAGGUCUCAGGAGCAUAUUGGGUCAGGUAUGUGUGGAAAGGCCCUCCAGGCUCAAAUCCACACUGGGCCUGCUCUGUGCCCUGACUCCAAGCUCCAGGAGCCCUCAAAGGUGGCAGCUCCACUGCUCAUGAGCCAAGCUUAGGGACCGGGGCCCUUCCUAGCAGCCAGAAAGAGCCUUAUUCUUAGUUGUUUUUUUUUUUUUUUUUUUUUUUUUUUGUAGAGACAGAGUCUGGCUCUGUUGCUCAGGCCAGAGUGCAGUGGUUCGAUCAUAGCUCACUGCAACCUCAAACUCCUGGGUACAAACAAUCCUCCUACCUCAGCCUCCUGAGUAGCUGGGACUACAAGCGUGCACCAUCACACCUGGCUAAUUUUUAUAUUUUUAAUUUUUAAUUUUCUGUAAAGACAGGGUCUUGCUAUGUUGCCCAGGCUGGUCUCAAACUCCUGGCCUCAAGCGAUUCUUCUGCCUCGGCCUCCCAAAGUGCUGUGAUUACAGGCAUGACCCACUGUGCCUGGUUCUGUUUUUAGUACCAAGGGCCCUCAUACCCCCUGUCUCUUCUUGGGACUCUGCCAAGUCCCAGGCUCCUUCUCAGCCUUGGGGACGGUACCCAGAUCAGCACCUCCACUUCCAUCUCCCCACCUCACCCCAAACCCUUCCCUCUGGCAUCUAGAGCCAUCCUAAAGUUUCUCUUCUUGAGUCUAGCCCUCCUGGGUAUGCUUGGGGACUGAAAUGCUCAAACUGGCCUCACCUCUUGACACUGUAAUUGUUCCUUAUCUCCCAUUAAACAGGAAUCCUGCUUUGUGUAGUUCAGUGCCUGCUGCCAAGUCAGAGCUGUGACCUCAAUGAAAGUGGCCCAGCCACAGCAAACCUCAGUUUCCAUAACAGUCCUGGGAUCCAAUGUGGCUUUCACACUACAUGUCACUUCACUCUGUUAUCUCUGACAGAAAACCAACUCAAACUGGCUUAAGCAAAAAGGGUACUCACUGGGCCAUGUAACCAAAAAGUGUAGGCAUACAUGUGGCUUCAGGAAUGGCUGGAUCCAGGCACUCACAUGUGGCAUCGGGAGUCCCUCUCCUGGCUGUUGGUUUCAGUUUUCUCUGCAGGGGUUUCAUUCAAGCACUGGUUCCCUCCUCAUAGUGGCAAGGUGGCUGCCCAGGACAAGAGGCUUAUAGCCACGGGCUCAGCUACUUAAGGAUAAGUUCCAUCAGAAGCCCAAGUUGAGGCCGGGCUUGGUGCUCACACCUGUAAUCCCAGCACUUUGGGUGGCCGAGGUGGGUGGAUCACUUGAGGUCAGGAGUUCGAGACCAGCCUGGCCAACACAGUGAAACCCUGUCUCUACUUAAAAAAAAACAAAACAAAACAAAAAAAAAAACCAUGAAAAUUAGCUGGGUGUGGUGGCACGUGCCUGUAAUCCCAGCUACUUGCAAGGCUGAGGCAGGAGAAUCACUUGAACCUGGCAGGCGGAAGUUGCAGUGAGACGAGAUCACGUCAUUGUACUCCAGUCUGGGCAACAGAACGAGACUUCGUUGGCAAUGACUGGGUCAUCUGUCCAGUCCUGAACCGGUCACUGUGUCAGGUAGAAGCAUUGUUUGAUUGGCCAGGCCUGGGACACACGGCCAUCUCCAGACCUAGGAAUGGCAUCAUCUCUACCCAAACCCCGUGAACCAAGAGUUGGGGAGGAGCAAAGCUUCAGAGAAAACUCUGGGCCCUGUCAUCAAGCAGAGGAGGAAAGGAGGCCACACAGACUGAGACAUCAAGUACCCACUGUGCCCUCACCACCAGCUCCCGCCCUGGCCAGUGCACUCCUGGACCAUCUCUCCUCCCCGUCUUGUUCACAGUCACCCUCUCACCCCAGCAGAGAUCAGGCCAGGGUACUGGUGGCAAGUGAGUGAAGGGUUUCAGCAAGGGGGUCCCCACCUUCCAGGCACAGUGUAAGUGGACCCCCCACACUUGGGGGCUCUCCUGGGUUGCACAGUGUCCUCUGAAAAUUCACAUCCACCUGGAACCUGCAAAUAUGACCUUAUUUGGAAAUGGAGUCUUUGCAGAUGUUGUCAAGAUAAGAUGAAGUCAUACUGUUUUAGGAUGGGCCCUCUAUAUGGCACGACUGGGGUUCUUAUACGAAGAGGGACCCUGGCACACAGAUGCAUACAGGGAGAGUGCUGUGUGAUGAGAAAGGCAGAGAUUGCAGUGAUGCUGCCACCAGCCAAGGAGUCACCAUCAGCCAGGAGAUGGGCAUGGAUCUGAUUCUCCCUGGGAACCUCCAGAAGGAGCCAACCCUGCCAACACCUUGGUUUUGGACUUCUGUUCCCCGCAACUGUGAGACAAUACAUUCUGUGGUUUUAAGCUUUAUGAUAAUUUGUUACUGUAGCCCUGGGAAAGGAAUACAAGGGUAGACAGACACUGAUCAAGUAAGCAAACAAAUGUGAAAUUGCCCUGUGACAAGGGAGGUGCGGGGUGCCUGUGUUGGGGAAGAAUUCUCUGAGACUUGAAGUCAGAGAAGGAGUUAGCUAAUGGGGCCGACAGGGUUCUGCACACGCAGCUCACGGCCCAGAUCUUGUUGGCCAAGUGUUUUUGCAGGGAUUAGGAACUAAGAAUGGUUUUGCAAGAAGAACAUCACAGGCUGAGGGGACAGCAUGGGCAAAGGCCAUGAAGUGGGAGGCGCCCUCUGUGAAACCAACAAGCUUUCAGCCACGUGGGUCUCUCUGACGCGUUGCCUCAGCCACAGAGGGCUUUAAAAAGCCCCGAAACUGGACAGGUGUCACUGCCUGUGGCAGUAGCGGCCAUUUGGCGCCUGUGGUUUCAACUCCACCCGUUUCACAUGUCUAUGUUACCAGACUGGCCCCUGAAGGGGAUCUGUGUGCCAGGCCCUGACCUGCCGGGCUUUGGAAACAUCCUCGACAGUGUCCCCUGACCUGCGCCCCGCCUUGUGGAGUGAGGCCUGGUUGCCCAAGCUGGCUGGGCCGGGCUGUUUGUUGCUUCCAACAAACAUAGGAGAGAACGUAUGGCUGCUUUUUAUUGCCAGUGAGAGUUCCGCGAGGCCUGGCCCGAGAUGUGGCUGGCGUGAGGGGUCCCGGACCUGCUGUGCUGGGGACGCACCCAGUUCUGUGUCGCUUGGUCCAGUGAGGACUCGAGCCCCUUGGAGGCGGGGCCUCGGGCUGCAGGGGCGGGGCCCCGAGCCGCCUGGGGGUGGGGCCUCAGGCUCUUUGGGGGCGGGGCCUCAAGCUGUCUGGGGACGGAGCCUCCGGCCGGCUGGGGGCGGGGCCUCAUGCCUAAGGGGCGGGGCCUCGAGCUUUCUGGGGGUGGGGUCUCAAGCUUCAGGGUCGGGGCCUGGAGCCGCCUGGGGACGGGGCGAUCUGUUGGGGAGGAGGUUCUCGAACUGCUGAGGAGGAUCGCAGUGCUUUUGCUUCCUCUAGGAGACCAGCUGCACAGGCUGGAACAUGCCAUCUCUAUGCCUGUUUUCCCGUCGAUAAAUCCAGAGACAUUACUCUCAUCAUUUCUUCCUCUGUACACAAUAUUCAUAUAUGUAACCCCUUGGUAAAGCAGUUGUAAGAAUUAAACAAGAGGAAUUGCUCUUUCAUUCAGCAAAUAUUUUUUGAGCAGCUACUAGAUGCCAGGCACUGUUUUAGACGCAAGUGAUACUUCAGGAAACAUAAUCAGAC
rnacentral:lncRNA from 1 species